UACGUAGGUGGCAAGCGUUGUCCGGAUUUACUGGGCGUAAAGAGCGCGCAGGCGGUCGUGCAAGUCGCGUGUGAAAGCCCCCGGCUCAACUGGGGAGGGUCACGCGAUACUGUUCGACUCGAAGGCAGGAGAGGGAAGCGGAAUUCCCGGUGUAGUGGUGAAAUGCGUAGAUAUCGGGAGGAACACCAGUGGCGAAGGCGGCUUCCUGGCCUGUUCUUGACGCUGAGGCGCGAAAGCUAGGGGAGCAAACGGG
rnacentral:rRNA from 1 species